AUAUCAUUGAUCAAAAUAUCAUGUACAAGUACACCGGGCAUUUCCGGAAAAAAAAAAAACCAAUGUUUCAUACAAUUAUUUCGAGCAUACCCGAGUGAAUGAAAAAUAAAUAAAGUACAAUGAAAGUCAAUGACCCAACACUAAGGACUCGAAAUGGAUACGUGUGUUUUGAUCCAUCUCACAAUACAAUCCAAGUGAGGAGAAAGGUCUUCAAAAAUAUUCAUGUUACGUGCUGCCCAAAUGUUGUAGACAGUACUAGCAAGUGCAAUCCUUCUGGCCUUUUUGAACCAUGAUGUCUCAUGGGCCUCUUUUUUAUCCACUUUAGAGUACUGAAAAGUGCCGACAUAGAUCUUUUGAUUCCCAGCUAUUGUCUAAUAUUCCCCAAUAAGGCCGAUGUGAAAGAACAUUCAAAGAAUUAGUGAUUGACUGUUUCCGCCAUAUGCUCACAAAGAGCACAAUUGCGAUCAAUAUCCAAAAAGUGCAAUUUAUCUUUAGUUAGGAGUUUAGAUUGUACCCCUAACCAAAACAUAAAGGAGUGCUUCGGAGUUAUGCAAGGUCUCCCAACAUCGGCUGUCCAAAUCUUGUUUGUACCCCUCGGUCUAAAGAAAUCAUAGGCCAUUUUUGUGCUGAAUUUUGCACCUGUCGACCAGCCCUGAAAACUGUCCAAAAAUCCCAGAAAACGGUCCCUAUUUUGACCAGUCGACCAGCCUUGAAAUCUGUCCAUAUGUCCCUGAAAUCGGUCCCUGUUUUGAGGAGGCACAACAUGCUGAUUAGAGGCUAAAUCAGCAGACACAAUCAGGUUAUUUCCACCGUCCAUCUGACCGGACAGCACCGCGUGUUCUUGUACGAGAAACUGGGGGCAGCAACCAUUUUAAACAAUAAAUCUCUGAUUUUCAGCAAUUUUUUGAAGAGUGGGGAGUGAUUUUUCCUAGGUAGAACCUCCCCAAUGCAAGUCUCUUUAAGAUAAACUUGGUGAAUCCAACGUUCCCAAAGAGUGUCCUUUUUAUGUUGAAUAUUCCAAGGGGAUCUAGC
rnacentral:lncRNA from 1 species